rnacentral:rRNA from 1 species
UACGGAGGGUGCAAGCGUUAAUCGGAAUUACUGGGCGUAAAGCGUGCGCAGGCGGUUUGUUAAGUCCGUUGUGAAAGCCCCGAGCUCAACUUGGGAAUUGCAGUGGAUACUGGCAGGCUGGAGUACGGUAGAGGAAGGUGGAAUUCCCGGUGUAGCAGUGAAAUGCGUAGAUAUCGGGAGGAACACCAGUGGCGAAGGCGGCUCACUGGCCCGGUACUGACGCUGAGGCACGAAAGCGUGGGGAGCAAACAGG